rnacentral:pre_miRNA from 1 species
GGAUGCUGCGGCGAGCGCGGGGCGUGUCGUCCCCCUCAGUCCACCAGAGCCCGGAUACCUCAGAAAUUCGGCUCUGGGUCUGUGGGGAGCGAAAUGCUCCCAA